UACGUAGGGUGCAAGCGUUAAUCGGAAUUACUGGGCGUAAAGCGUGCGCAGGCGGUUCCGCAAGUCAGAUGUGAAAUCCCCGGGCUCAACCUGGGAACUGCAUUUGAAACUACGGGGCUAGAGUGUGUCAGAGGGGGGUGGAAUUCCACGUGUAGCAGUGAAAUGCGUAGAGAUGUGGAGGAACACCGAUGGCGAAGGCAGCCCCCUGGGCCAAUACUGACGCUCAUGCACGAAAGCGUGGGGAGCAAACAGG
rnacentral:rRNA from 1 species